rnacentral:lncRNA from 14 species
CUAUGGGUCCAAUGUGUCUCUAUGGGUCCAAUGUGUCUCUAUGGGUCCAAUGUGUCUCUAUGGGUCCAAUGUGUCUCUAUGGGUCCAAUGUGUCUCUAUAGGGUCCAAUGUGUCUCUAUGGGUCCAAUGUGUCUCUAUGGGUCCAAUGUGUCUCUAUGGGUCCAAUGUGUCUCUAUGGGUCCAAUGUGUCUCUAUGGGCUCCAAUGUGUCUCUAUGGUCCCCAAUGUGUCCCUAUGGGUCCUACCCCAUAGGUGUCUGUCCCGCUGCCUGUCCCGGCUGCGCAGCGCCAGGGUGCAGCAGCAGUACCAGCGCAUCGGGGGGGGGCUCCCCCAUCCUGUACAUUAACCCCAUUACUCUAUGGGGUCCUAUGGGGCUCUAUGGGUCCUAUGGGCUUCUAUGGGUUUCUAUGGGUUCUAUGGGGUUCUAUGGUGUUCUAUGGGUUCUAUGGGGUACAAUGUGUUUCUAUGGUGUUCUAUGGGUUGCUAUGGGGUUCUAUGGGUACUAUGGUUUGCUAUGGGUGCUAUAGGGUACUAUGGGGCUCUAUGGGGUUUCUAUGGGUUCUAUGGUAUUCUAUGGUGUUCUAUGGGUCCUAUGGGUUUCUAUGGGUUCUAUGGUGUUCUAUGGGGUACUAUGGUUAGUUAUAGGGUUCUAUGGGUUCUAUGGGGUACUAUGGGUGUUAUAGGGUACUAUGGGUUUCUAUGUGGUUCUAUGUGUUUCUAUGGGUUUCUAUGGGUUUCUAUGGGUCCUAUGUUGUUCUAUGGGCUCCAA